CGGGGGGUCCUAGCGUUGUUCGGAAUCAUUGGGCGUAAAGCGUGUGCAGGUGGUUUGGUAAGUUGGAUGUGAAAUCCUUGGGCUUAACCCAAGAAGGGCAUUCAAAACUACCAAACUUGAGUAAGGAAGAGGGUCGUGGAAUUCCAGGUGUAGUGGUGAAAUACGUAGAUAUCUGGAGGAACACCGGUGGCGAAGGCGGCGACCUGGUCCUAUACCGACACUCAUACACGAAAGCGUGGGGAUCAAACAGGAUUAGAUACCCUGGUAGUCCACGCCGUAAACGAUGGAUACUUGGUGUUGAAGGUAUUGACCCCUUCAGUGCCGGAGCUAACGCGUUAAGUAUCCCGCCUGGGGAGUACGGUCGCAAGAUUA
rnacentral:rRNA from 1 species